GAUGAACGCUGGCGGCGUGCCUAAUACAUGCAAGUCGAGCGAACAGACGAGGAGCUUGCUCCUCUGACGUUAGCGGCGGACGGGUGAGUAACACGUGGAUAACCUACCUAUAAGACUGGGAUAACUUCGGGAAACCGGAGCUAAUACCGGAUAAUAUAUUGAACCGCAUGGUUCAAUAGUGAAAGACGGUUUUGCUGUCACUUAUAGAUGGAUCCGCGCCGCAUUAGCUAGUUGGUAAGGUAACGGCUUACCAAGGCGACGAUGCGUAGCUGACCUGAGAGGGUGAUCGGCCACACUGGAACUGAGACACGUUCCAGACUCCUACGGGAGGCAGCAGUAGGGAAUCUUCCGCAAUGGGCGAAAGCCUGACGGAGCAACGCCGCGUGAGUGAUGAAGGUCUUCGGAUCGUAAAACUCUGUUAUUAGGGAAGAACAAAUGUGUAAGUAACUAUGCACGUCUUGACGGUACCUAAUCAGAAAGCCACGGCUAACUACGUG
rnacentral:rRNA from 1 species